ensembl:lncRNA
GAGUCAGAGGUGCAGCCUGCGCCCGCCAUGGAGCAGCCCAGGAAGGCGGUGGUGGUAACGGGUACGCGGGCAGUGUACCAAUGGCGGUCGCAGCGGCAGCGGCCCCGGGGCAGGGGUUGGGUCGGGCGGCUUCAGAACCAGUUGGGCCGGGAGGAGCGCGGUGGCCCGGGCGGGGCAAGUGCUAGAAGUGUCCCAGGUUUGGAAGGUGUCAUCAUCCGCGGGAGCCCAGCUCAGUCCGCGCGACAGAGAAAGUGGAGAAAGGGGCGCCCCUGUGGUCCUACUGUCAGGGGCCGGGGCAAGGAAGGACGUGGGGGUCUUGGCAAGUGACCCACACGGAGCAGGCCCCUUUCGCGUCCUUCCUUACCCAGUUGGGGACAGUAACUCUCUGGGCACCUGUUUGUUCUGUCUGCCUGGCCAGCAGGCUGGACCGGGCUCCUCCCUGCCCCUCCCUAAGUCAGGUUUGUCACCACCCCCGGUCCCAGGGGACAAAGGCCGAUUUGCGGGCAGGAAGUGCCCCGGUGACAAAUGAAUGUCUUGCCAGCCACUGCUCCCCGAGCCUUGCGCCAACGGAGGGCUGCUCCCCGGAGGCGGGGGCAGAUGGAGUUCGGUGGACCUCGGUUGCCCGGCCACUCUCUCGGUUGCCCCAGGGACCGUCUUGGUCAAAAUCUUUAAUGCCCCCCACAUUGUCCCAGGUAGCAGCUGCUCCUGAUGUUCCCUGCUUCAUCCUGCUGGAUGAAGGCAGCAGCUUAGCCCUGGGCAGACCAGUAGGGGCCACUGGGUGGUGACAUGCUGCUUUUAUUAUUUUUUUUCAGGGUUUGGCCCUUUUGGGGAACACACUGUGAACGCCAGCUGGAUUGCAGUCCAGGUAACUGGAUCCAGAGGGUAGGAAUCAGGCUUGGGGCUGGGUUUCCCUGGAAGUAUUUGGCACCAAAGAAAGAAAGGAAUCUACAAAGAAAUCAAUCUCCAGAAGAGUUCCCUUGUGGCACAGUGGGUUGAGGAUCUGGCAUCGUGGCUGCAGCGGCUCAGGUCACUGCUGUAGCACAGAUUGGAUCCCUGGCCCCAGAACUUCUAUGUGCCACUGGCUCAGCAACUCCCCCACCCCCCAAAAAAAGGAGUUCCCAUCGUGGCACAGCAGAAAUGAAUCCGACUAGGAACCGUGAGGUUGCGGGUUCAAUCCCUGGCCUUGCUCAGUGGGUUGGGGAUCCAGCACUGCCGUGAGCUGUGGUGUAGGUCACAGAUGUGGCUUGGAUCUGGCGUUGCUGUGGCUAUGGAGUAGGCUGGCAGUAACAGCUCCGAUUAGACCCCUAGCCUGGGGAGCUCCAUAUGCCAUGGGAAGUGGCCCUAAAAAGACCAAAAAAAAAGUCUCCUGUGAUGCUUCCUGAGAGGUAUUUAAGUCUGAUGUACAUUUCCCCUUAGAUAGUUACCACUGUAGCUUGCAUUUACUGAGUGCUUGCUCUGCUCCAGGCAUUUUUUUUUUUGCUGUCCAGUGUGCCAAAUUCUUCCAACAACUCUUAGGUGCAGUUAUUCUUGUGCCUACUUUCCAGAUGAGGAAACUGAGGCCCAGAGAGAGUUAUGUCAGGACUUCCAGCUCAGAAAACAGAGUUUAGGGCAGCGGGACCAGGCAGGGGUAUUGGGGUACGUAUUAACCUUGUAAAGGCGGGUGCAGUGACCCUCAGCAUUGCCUCCUGGCAGCUGGAGGAAGAGAAGGCUGCAUUUUGGGCAGGGCGGGAGGGUCUUUCCCACUGUCCCAAGCCUCGCAGUUUCUUUGUCAGAUGGGGCAUUUGGAGGAACAGACUGGGGAACAAUGGGCAGAGAGAAAGAGAGAAACCUUUUCUCCUUAUAUAAAUCAGAUCUGCAGAGACCGGAGCCAAACUCAUGUUAAUCCUAGCCCAUUAGCUGCUUGAUUUAAAGCAUCCCCUGCUUUCCACUCCAGAGCCCUGAAUUUGGAGAAAAAUCCAUGUUGAAACCUCAGGGUGUCAACUCCUAGUUGGGCCUCCCACUUUUUUUUUUAAAUUACCUCUGGUCCAGACCUCAAAAUCUUGGCCACAUUCCUCCCUCCUUUUUAAAAAAAUAUCACCCCACUUUGCUAUCGGGACAGAAGGACAGGGUCCCCAGGACCUUGCAGAUGGGAGCAUGUCUGAGGCCCUGCUGGUCGCACCCGCUCCCUGGAGCCCCAGACAAAAAGGAAACAGCGUGUUUCUGAAGACGUGUGUGUCUGGCUUUGUGCGAGUUUCAGACAGGAGUCUUCACGGGGCUGAGUGGACACAAAGCCGUGUGUCUGAAUUCCUGGGCCCCAGACACUAUGAUCUGCAUCUAAAUAGGAGAAAAAUCAAUUAAACAAUCUUUGGAAAUCCCUCCGAGCCUUGGGACUCGGAUGGUGUAGGAUGGCGGCUUUUCAUCCUGCUGCUGGCGGGGCAAUACUCCUUAUAUUUUAGUCGUCCAUCUCUCCAGACCUCACCUCUAGAAGACUUUCAAUUUUCCUCCUCAAGUUUAUGAAACAAGAAGAGAAGAUUCCCCACCAGUCCCUGGCUAAAAAGAUACCAAGCUUCCCAGAUCUGAUUAUUUCCAUUUAAGAAACAAAACGAAACUGGAGUUGUACACACAUACCCUGAGUGCACAUAGCUCUGUAGCUCCAUGAAAUUUUACACGUGUACUUCUGCAGCACCUGAGUCCAGAUCAUGAUCUAGAACAUUCCUAGCCCCUUCUCUGUUCUCCCCCGUUGCACAAGCUCCUCGAAUCCUUUCCUUCCCCAGCUAUUCCUGCUGUGCCCCACCCUCACCCCAGGUAUAAACCUCUCUGCUGACUUUAUCACCGCCAGAGUGCAUUUUGCAUGUUCUAGAACUUGGUGUCAGUGGAAUUGCACUUGGGUGCCUUCUGCAUGGGGUGACUCAGAGCUGCUGGUGGUGCUUUUCAGUCAUGGUGGAUAAAAGAGAUUUGCUCAUAGGAAGGGUGUAGCUGUUGCAAGGGUCAGAUCCAUCCCUCAAGAUGAUAUAUUUCGGGGAGUUCCCUUUGUGGCUCAGCGGUUAACGAACCCGACUAGAAUCCAUGAGGAUGAAGGUUUGAUCCCUGGCCUCACUCAGUGGAUUAAGGAUCUGGUGUUGCCAUGAGCCAUUGCUGUGGCUGUGGUGUAGGCUGACAGUUGUAGCUCCAAUUCAACUCCUAGCUCGAGAAUUUCCAUGUGCCGCAGGUACAGCCCUAAAAAAGCAAAAAAAAAAAAAAAAAAA